CGGCCAUGCAGCAGCCAUUUCGGAUCCGAGAGUCGGCCAUGCAGCAGCCAUUUUGGAUCUGAGAGAGUCGGCCAUGCAGCAGCCAUUUUGGAUCUGAGAGUCAGCCAUGCAGCUGCCAUUUUGGAUCUGAGAGAGUUGGCCAUGCAGCAGCGUUUCGGAUCCGAGAGCUGGCCAUGCAGCAGCCAUUAAGGAUCCAAGAGUCGGUCAUGUAGCAGCCAUUUCGGAUCUGAGAGAGUCGGCCAUGCAGCAGCCGUUUGGGAUCUGAGAGUCGGCCAUGCAGCAGCCGUUUGGGAUCUGAGAGAGUCGGCCAUGCAGCAGCCAUUUGUGCAUGCUUCCCUUCUCCCAGCCCCACAGGAGACUGACUCUGCAUCCUGCCUCCUUUCAAAUGCAUCCUGUGCCAACAGUUUCUGAAAACGGAUAAACAAAUUGACAACCUCAAAUGCAAAGAUGAAACAUUUCUCCAGAUCAUCAGGCACAUGGUUUACUCAGGCCCAGAGGAGUGAGCUGAUAUAAAGAAGCUGUGCCACACAGUCGGAUGGGGUCCGAAGGAAACAAUAGGGCUGAGUGAUGAGUAUUGAAGAAGAAAUCUAAAGAAAGAAUGUCUUAUCAGCUGACCGCAAAGCUGCCUCCUUCUACCUGGCCACAUUGCUUAUCUAUUGUACUGCGUCUCUCUUGGAUGGAAACGAUACACCAAUCACUCAUAAAAAAUGAUUGGUCUCUACCCUCACAAUGAUUCUGCAAUCCACUGUGGGAACAUGACGCACAGCCUCGAGCCACUGUGGGAGCUUCCUCAUCAGAAGGGAGGGGUACCAGGGGGUGUGGUGAUGUGGCCCUAGGUGCGGGAAUUUCCAAAAGGGAAGCUCUGGUAGCAGCCUCUCAUCUAUAGUAUCAUAUUUUCAGUGUCAUCGUAACGCAGAGAAGUAGAAGAUUCAAGACUUUGGAAAACAGCCAUUUUCUCUCAAUUACAAGAAUAAUAACAGUAUUUGAAAGAUCCUAAAAGUGGUGAAGAUGGAGUAAGUGUUUGGUAGGGAAUCCCUGCCCUGGCUGAUCAUUAUGUCUGCCUUGGCUGUACAUGUGAUCUUGGUGGCAUUUCUGGACUAUCACCCAGAGAGGUGGGUUAAGACUGGUUAAGACCGCAGAGUCAGACCGCUUGGAGUUGAAUCCUGACACCACCGCAUUCUAGCUGUGUGACUUUAGAAAGUCCCUUAGCCUCUAUGAAAUUUAGUUUGCUCAAUCAGAAAAAGAGAAUAAUGACACUGUUCAUCUUACAGAAUUGUUGCAAGGAUUAAAUAAACUAUCAGAUGGAAA
rnacentral:lncRNA from 1 species